rnacentral:rRNA from 1 species
ACGGGAGGCAGCAGUGAGGAAUAUUGGUCAAUGGGCGGAAGCCUGAACCAGCCAAGUCGCGUGAAGGUAGAAGGUAUUAUGUAUUGUAAACUUCUUUAGACGCAGAGAAAUAAGAGGGUCGUGACCCUUGAUGCUAGUAUGCGUAGAAUAAGGAUCGGCUAACUCCGUGCCAGCAGCCGCGGUAAUACGGAGGAUCCGAGUGUUAUCCGGAUUUAUUGGGUUUAAAGGGUGCGCAGGCGGUGGAUCAAGUAAGUGGUGAAAUGGUGGGGCUAAACCGUAGCAUUGCCGUUGAAACUGGUUCACUUGAGUGCGGACGAGGCAGGCGGAAUGUGUUGUGUAGCGGUGAAAUGCAUAGAUAUGACACAGAACACCGAUUGCGAAGGCAGCCUGCCAGGCCGCAACUGACGCUGAGGCACGAAAGUGCGGGGAUCGAACAGGAUUAGAUACCCUGGUA